rnacentral:rRNA from 1 species
GAUGAACGCUGCGGCGUGCCUAAUACAUGCAAGUCGAGCGAACAGAUGAGGAGCUUGCUCCUCUGACGUUAGCGGCGGACGGGUGAGUAACACGUGGAUAACCUACCUAUAAGACUGGGAUAACUUCGGGAAACCGGAGCUAAUACCGGAUAAUAUAUUGAACCGCAUGGUUCAAUAGUGAAAGACGGUUUUGCUGUCACUUAUAGAUGGAUCCGCGCCGCAUUAGCUAGUUGGUAAGGUAACGGCUUACCAAGGCAACGAUGCGUAGCCGACCUGAGAGGGUGAUCGGCCACACUGGAACUGAGACACGGUCCAGACUCCUACGGGAGGCAGCAGUAGGGAAUCUUCCGCAAUGGGCGAAAGCCUGACGGAGCAACGCCGCGUGAGUGAUGAAGGUCUUCGGAUCGUAAAACUCUGUUAUUAGGGAAGAACAAAUGUGUAAGUAACUAUGCACGUCUUGACGGUACCUAAUCAGAAAGCCACGGCUAACUACGU